ensembl:snRNA U2 U2 spliceosomal RNA
UGUGCUUCUAUGCCUUUUUGCUAAGUGUAGUAUCUGUUCUUAGUGUAAUAUCUGAUAUGUCUCCCAUUGGGGGACUACAUAUCAACCAGAUUUUUUUAACAGGGAGUUGGUAAAAGGGCUUGCUUCUUCCACUCCAUGCAUAGACCCAUA